rnacentral:rRNA from 1 species
AGUGAACGCUGGCGGUAGGCCUAACACAUGCAAGUCGAACGGCAGCACAGUAAGAGCUUGCUCUUACGGGUGGCGCGUGGCGGACGGGUGAGGAAUACAUCGGAAUCUACUUUUUCGUGGGGGAUAACGUAGGGAAACUUACGCUAAUACCGCAUACGACCUACGGGUGAAAGCAGGGGAUCUUCGGACCUUGCGCGAUUGAAUGAGCCGAUGUCGGAUUAGCUAGUUGGCGGGGUAAAGGCCCACCAAGGCGACGAUCCGUAGCUGGUCUGAGAGGAUGACCACCCACACUGGAACUGAGACACGGUCCAGACUCCUACGGGAGGCAGCAGUGGGGAAUAUUGGACAAUGGGCGCAAGCCUGAUCCAGCCAUACCGCGUGGGUGAAGAAGUCCUUCGGGUGUUAAAGCCCUUUUGUUGGGAAAGAAAAGCAGCAGGUUAAUACCCCGCUGUUCUGACGGUACCCAAAGAAUAAGCACCGGCUAACUUCGUG